GUUGGUGGACAUGGUGAGGAUGGGUUGGGGUUGGACUUGGUGAUCUUGGAGGUCUUUUCCAACCUUAAUGAUUCUAUGGUUCU
rnacentral:miRNA from 12 species